AUGAAGCAAGGCGACCCGAUAUCCCCUCUCCUCUUUAACCUCGUUGUCAAUGCUCUGGCAGGCAUCCUGGAUAAAGGUAGGACGUCAGGCCACAUAUCAGGGGUUGUUGGCCACCUAAUCCCGGGGUGUGGGGCCACCCACCUCCAAUAUGCGGACGACACCAUGAUUAUGGUGGAAGGAUCGUCCCUUGAUAUAGUGAAUCUUAAGUUCCCGCUCCUCUGCUUUGAGGCCAUGCCGGGACUUAAGAUCAACUUUGAUAAGAGCGAGGUCGUCAUUAUAGGCUUCCCGGCUGACGAGCAACAACGGAUUGCGGAUAACUUGAAUUACAGAUUGGCAUCAUUUCCCAUUACCUAUUUGGGAACGUCGAUGGCCGACUCAAAGAUUCUAAUGAGUGCCUUCGAUCCGUUGGUAGAACGGGUGGCGACGCGAGCUGAGCCCUAG
rnacentral:rRNA from 1 species